rnacentral:rRNA from 1 species
AUUGAACGCUGGCGGCAUGCCUUACACAUGCAAGUCGAACGGCAGCACGGGGGCAACCCUGGUGGCGAGUGGCGAACGGGUGAGUAAUACAUCGGAACGUGCCCCGUAGCGGGGGACAACCAGUCGAAGACUGGCUAAUACCGCAUACGCUCCACGGAGGAAAGCAGGGGAUCGCAAGACCUUGCACUAUGGGAGCGGCCGAUGCCCGAUUAGCUAGUUGGUGAGGUAAGGCUCACCAAGGCAACGAUCGGUAGCUGGUCUGAGAGGACGACCAGCCACACUGGGACUGA